UUCAAGUAAUCCAGGAUAGGCUUGUUAAAGUGGGGGAAGCCUAUUCAGGAUGACUUGGUUC
rnacentral:pre_miRNA from 1 species